rnacentral:lncRNA from 1 species
AACUUCCCUUGCCAGUGUGCCCAUGGGGAGAGGCUGGCCUGCUCAGAACAGCUCCAGGUAUUAGGUCCCCAUGACCAUUCCCACAUUUGUGAAUAAGCAGCAUGGUUAACUGAGCCUGUCCUUGAGAGGGCACCUACAUUUGGCAUUCAGAUCAUCAGGCUUCUGAUCCUGCAGGGAAGAGUGCCAGCACCUGAUGGAGGAGGCCAACAAAGUCCAGACAGAAAAGGAAGGAAGAGCAGACAAUGUUGGUUUUGGUGCCUGAGAUCUGAGUGCAUUCCCUGAGGAAUGGAGGUCCCUAAGGAGUUGUGAUGGGCCAGAAUGUUGACUCCAGAUGUUCCCAGCGCCCAGACUCGUUGGCUCAGGAGGACUCUGAAUGAUAAUAUCCCAUCAGCUGAGAUUUUUGAUGCAGAUUUUCCAGCCUAUGUUAUGACUCACAUUACAACAGUUACCUAAACAAAGAUCUUUGCUCUUUCUGGAUGAGUUUCCAGUGAUAAACGAAUAAAA